AUUGUUUGUUUUUUUGAGACAGAGUCUUGCUCUGUCACCCAGGCUGGAGUGCAGUGGUGCAAUCUCAGCUCACUGCAAUCUCGGCUCACUGCAACGUCUGCCUCCUGGAUUCAAGCAAUUCUUCUGCCUCAGCCUCCGGAGUAGCUGGGAUUACAGGCGUGCACCACCAUACCUAGCUAAUUUUUGUAUUUUUAGUAGAGACGGAGUUUUGCCAUAUUGGCCAGGCUGGUGUUGAACUCCUGGCCUCAUGUGAUCCGCCCAUCUCAGCCUCCCAAAGUGCUGGGGUUACAGGCAUGAGCCACUGUGCCAGCCUAUUUCAGUAACUUAAUGUUUUUACAGGCAUGUAUUACCUAUAAAAUUAAUAAAGCCAGUGAGGUAUUUCUUUUUUGAACUAAAGCAAAGCUAAUAAUAAGUUAUAGAGAAGUUAGAGAAGAAAUCUAUUAAGUGAUACUUUCUUUGUAUACUGUUGGGCUGAGUACCCUUGAUUCUUGGUGGUGAACAAGUUAUCAGAAAUUUCUUGGCCAGGAGCCGUGGCUCACACCUGUAGUCCCAGCACUUUGGGAGUCCAAGGUGGGUGGAUCACUUGAGGUCAGAAUUUCUAGAUCAGCCUGGCCAGCAUGGUGAAACCCUGUCUCUAUUAAAAAUACAGAAAUUAGCCAGGCAUGGUGACGUGCGCCUGUAAUUCCAGCUACCUGGGAGGCUGAGGCAGCAAAAUCACUUGAACCUGGCAGGCGGAGUUCGCAGUGAGCUGGGAUCGCGUCGCUGCACUCCAGCCUGGAUGACAGAGCAAGACUCCAUCUCAAAGAAAAAAUAAAAAAGAAAUUUAUUUACUUGUGUGAAUUUUUACAAUACAGAUGCUUCUCGACUUAAAUGGGGCUACAUCCCAAUAAACUCAUAAGUUGCAAAUACUGUAAAUCAAAAAUGCAUUGAAUACACCUAAUGUAUGGAACACCAUAGUUUAGCCUAUCCUACUUUAAAUGUGUUCCGAACACUUAGAUUAGCCUGUAGUUGGGCAGCAUUACCUACUAUAAAGUGUAUUUUCUAAUAAAAUGUUGAAUAUCUCAUGUAACUCAUUGAAUACUGAAAGUGAAAAACAAUGUAUGGGUACUCAAAAUAUGGUUUCUCUACUGAAUGUGAAUCACUUUGACACCAUCAUAAAGUUGAAAAAUUCCAAGUCAAACCAUUGUAAGUCAGGGGCUAUCAGUAUUCAGUGGUAAAUGCUGGCUCUAACUAUUCUUCCAAGUCAGUGGUUGACUGCUGUUUAUUCUAUAAAGGGUUACAAUUUAUAGAUUCUCUCACUUGUAGAAUGAGAGAUUCAGAAUUAAUAGCAGACAGAGUCCCUACCUUGAUGGAGCUUUCAUUUAAGUGUGAAAGUCAGGUGACCUAACAAGGCCUUGGCAUAAGUUUAGGAUUUGGAUUGUUAUGGGAGCUUGGGUAGGGACAUGUCAUAGGUAAGGCAACAGCAGGGGUAGAGAUAAGCUUGACAUAUGUCAAAAAUCAUGAAGACAUCAGUAAUCCUUGAAGUUGGCUGAAAGGUAUAGAGUUGAGAAAGUAGUUAAAAAAAAAAAAGUCAGGCUGAGUCUAGGUAAGGAUGUGUUUCUCUGAGGUCAGAUUUGUUCCUGUACCAUAAAGGGACUAUUUAGAAUCUUAAAGCUGGAGCAAUUUAAAACGUUAAGUUUUCAGAUUGACGUUUUUUGAGGUAUAGUUAAUAACCUGAAUGUUCUGAUUCUAGUCUUGGUAGUCAAUAAGAGUUGACCAGAUGAAUUUCAUAGCUUUGUAGAGGAUGAAAUAUUUCAAGGCUGAUUUGCACAAAUGUUUACAUAGAUCAUGUAUCUUUCAUAAGUAAUAUGUUUGUAUUAUUACAAGGCUGUAAAAAUUUAAGCAGGUUGUUAAUAGCACAGGGGGUAACAGAUUAAUAAAAUUAAUGAAUAAAAUUACUAAAAGAGUCCAGAAGUAAACCCAAAUACGUGGAGGAAUUAAGCAUAUGUAUGAUACACAUGACAUUUUAAAAAUCAGUGGGAAAAGGUAAAUUAUUUUACAAAUGGUGUUAGAAGCACUGAUUGAUAAUUUUGUUAAAAGAAACUUAGAUUCCCUAUUUUACUCCUAAUCCAAAAUAAAUUCUGAGUGGAUCUAAGAUUAAGCAAAAAUUAAGCCGGAAGCUGAGCAUGGUAGCAUGUGUCUGUAAUCUCCGCAAUUUAGGAGACUGAGUUUGGCUGGGGAGGUGGUGAUAUGCGCCUAGAAAAAAAAAAUUUUUUAAGCCACAGAUGUAUAAGCAAAAAGCGGGCAAAGAGGCGGAAUUUUUUUUUUUUUUUUUGAUGAAGUCUCACUUGUCGCCCAGGCUGGAACGCAGUGGCGUGAUCUCAGCUCACUGCAACCUCUGCCUCCCGGGUUCAAGCGAUUCUCCUGCCUCAGCCUCCCAAGUAGCUGGGAUUACAGGCACCUGCCGAGGAGAGGAUUUUUUUAUAAUUAAAACAAAACAAAACAAAA
rnacentral:lncRNA from 10 species